AGGAUUGAGAGCGUGGGCUAUGGUCAUAACUGUUACUGGGCCGAGAGUGUGAGCUAUGGCUUUCGUGGCCAUAACUGUUACCAGACUGAGAGUGUGAGCUAUGGCUUUCGUGGCCAUAACUGUUACCAGACUGAGAGUGUGAGUGAUGACUAUGGUGGUCAUAACUGUUGAUGAGAAGCUCCUCUCUGUACCGAGGAAGACUAGUCGAGGUUUCAGACUGGGAACUUGUAUCCUCGUAUGUAUCUUCAUAGCGAGGUUUUUUCCGGCUGGGCGGCUCGACUCCGUCCAGCUUAUU
rnacentral:lncRNA from 1 species